rnacentral:rRNA from 1 species
CCUACGGGAGGCAGCAGUGAGGAAUAUUGGUCAAUGGACGAGAGUCUGAACCAGCCAAGUAGCGUGAAGGAUGACUGCCCUAUGGGUUGUAAACUUCUUUUAUAUGGGAAUAAAAUGUUCCACGUGUGGGAUUUUGUAUGUACCAUAUGAAUAAGGCUCGGCUAACUCCGUGCCAGCAGCCGCGGUAAUACGGAGGAACCGAGCGUUAUCCGGGUUUAUUGGGUUUAAAGGGAGCGUAGGUGGAUUGUUAAGUCAGUUGUGAAAGUUUGCGGCUCAACCGUAAAAUUGCAGUUGAAACUGGCAGUCUUGAGUACAGUAGAGGUGGGCGGAAUUCGUGGUGUAGCGGUGAAAUGCUUAGAUAUCACGAAGAACUCCGAUUGCGAAGGCAGUUCACUGGACUGCAACUGACACUGAGGCUCGAAAGUGUGGGUAUCAAACAGGAUUAGAUACCCUAGUAGUC